GGUUUGCUUUUCCUUUUCUUUUGUUAUUCCAUGCUAACCUGUGAAUGAAGAAUAUUGAGACUGCUUCGAACUUGUGUAAAUAUAUUUAGUUAUAAAAUAUAUAUUUGGAAAAUGAAAACAUAAAAGUUGUGGAUAGCCCUCGUAGAUUAUUUACUAUUGAGCAUUGAAAGUAGAGAAAUUGUUAUUUUUAUCACUACAAAGUGAAAUUCCACCUUUCAAAAUCUCUCUUAUGCGUACAUAAAAUUAAUUUGAGAAAGAACAAAAGAAU
rnacentral:misc_RNA from 1 species